rnacentral:rRNA from 1 species
UACGUAGGUGACAAGCGUUGUCCGGAUUUACUGGGCGUAAAGAGCGCGCAGGCGGUCGUUCAAGUCGAGUGUGAAAGCCCCCGGCUCAACUGGGGAGGGUCAUUCGAUACUGAUCGACUCGAAGGCAGGAGAGGGAAGUGGAAUUCCCGGUGUAGUGGUGAAAUGCGUAGAUAUCGGGAGGAACACCAGUGGCGAAGGCGGAUCUCUGGGCCUGUUCUGACGCUGAGGCGCGAAAGCUAGGGGAGCGAACAGG